GCACCCGCGGUAAUUCCAGCUCCAAUAGCGUAUAUUAAAGUUGUUGCGGUUAAAAAGCUCGUAGUUGGAUUUCUGCCGAGGACGACCGGUCCGCCCUCUGGGUGCGUAUCUGGCUCGGCCUGGGCAUCUUCUUGGAGAACGUAUCUGCACUUGACUGUGUGGUGCGGUAUCCAGGACUUUUACUUUGAGGAAAUUAGAGUGUUUCAAGCAGGCACACGCCUUGUAUACAUUAGCAUGGAAUAAUAAGAUAGGACCUCGGUUCUAUUUUGUUGGUUUCUAGAGCUGAGGUAAUGAUUAAUAGGGAUAGUUGGGGGCAUUCGUAUUUAACUGUCAGAGGUGAAAUUCUUGGAUUUGUUAAAGACGGGCUACUGCGAAAGCAUUUGCCAAGGAUGUUUUCAUCAAUCAAGAACGAAAGU
rnacentral:rRNA from 1 species